rnacentral:rRNA from 1 species
CCUACGGGUGGCAGCAGUGAGGAAUAUUGGUCAAUGGGCGUAAGCCUGAACCAGCCAAGUCGCGUGAGGGAUGAAGGUUCUAUGGAUCGUAAACCUCUUUUAUCAGGGAAUAAAGUGUGGGACGUGUCCUGUUUUGUAUGUACCUUAUGAAUAAGGCUCGGCUAACUCCGUGCCCGCCGCCGCGGUAAUACGGAGGAUCCGAGCGGUAUCCGGAUUUAUUGGGUUUAAAGGGUGCGUAGGCGGCCUUUUAAGUCAGGGGGGAAAGUCUGUGGCUCAACCAUAGGAUUGCCGUUGAAACUGGGAGGCUUGAGUAUGUUUGAGGCAGGCGGAAUGCGUGGUGUAGCGGUGAAAUGCUUAGAUAGCACGCAGAACCCCGAUUGCGAAGGCAGCCUGCCAAGCCAUGACUGACGCUGAUGCACGAAAGCGUGGGGAUCAAACAGGAUUAGAUACCCGUGUAGUC